CCCGGGCCUUGUACACACCGCCCGUCACAUCACGAAAGUCGGCUGUACCAGAAAUCGGUGGGCCAACCCGCAAGGGGGUAGCCGCUUAAGGUAUGGUCGGUGAUUGGGUG
rnacentral:rRNA from 1 species